GUGAACACGUCCAUACACACGUGUCUGCGGGUCUCUGAUCCUACUACUCUCUCCUCCCGUGCUUCGUGUUCUUCUUCCCGCCGGGAGCUCAAAAACGCCGCCGCCGCCGCUGUUCCUCUAACU
ensembl:ncRNA F25B5.9 ncRNA